rnacentral:rRNA from 1 species
AGAAGUUUGUAGCCUGGCGUCAGGGACGUAACGGCUGGCGGCGUGCUUAACACAAUGCAAGUCGAACGGAGGUAACCCUCGAAAGUACGAUUUCGGUCGAAUGGAGUAGGACGUACUUAGUGGCGGACGGGUGAGUAACGCGUGAGGAACCUGCCUUUCAGAGGGGGACAACAGUUGGAAACGACUGCUAAUACCGCAUAACGUACGGGUAUCGCAUGGUACUGGUACCAAAGAUUUAUCGCUGAGAGAUGGCCUCGCGUCUGAUUAGCUAGUUGGUAGGGUAACGGCCUACCAAGGCGACGAUCAGUAGCCGGACUGAGAGGUUGGCCGGCCACAUUGGGACUGAGAUACGGCCCAGACUCCUACGGGAGGCAGCAGUGGGGAAUAUUGGGCAAUGGGCGCAAGCCUGACCCAGCAACGCCGCGUGAAGGAAGAAGGCUUUCGGGUCGUAAACUUCUUUUGACAGGGAAGAGCAGAAGACGGUACCUGUCGAAUAAGCCACGGCUAACUACGUG